rnacentral:rRNA from 1 species
AACGAACGCUGGCGGCAGGCCUAACACAUGCAAGUCGAGCGAAGCCUUUGGGCUUAGCGGCGGACGGGUGAGUAACGCGUGGGAACGUGCCCUUUGCUACGGAAUAGCCCCGGGAAACUGGGAGUAAUACCGUAUGUGCCCGAGAGGGGAAAGAUUUAUCGGCAGAGGAUCGGCCCGCGUUGGAUUAGGUAGUUGGUGGGGCAAUGGCCUACCAAGCCGACGAUCCAUAGCUGGUUUGAGAGGAUGAUCAGCCACACUGGGACUGAGACACGGCCCAGACUCCUACGGGAGGCAGCAGUGGGGAAUCUUAGACAAUGGGGGAAACCCUGAUCUAGCCAUGCCGCGUGAGCGAUGAAGGCCUUAGGGUUGUAAAGCUCUUUCAGUGGGGAAGAUAAUGACGGUACCCACAGAAGAAGCCCCGGCUAACUUCGUGCCAGCCGCCGCCGUAACAC